CCUACGGGUGGCUGCAGUGGGGAAUAUUGCACAAUGGGCGCAAGCCUGAUGCAGCCAUGCCGCGUGUGUGAAGAAGGCCUUCGGGUUGUAAAGCACUUUCAGCGGGGAGGAAGGCGGUGAGGUUAAUAACCUCAUCGAUUGACGUUACCCGCAGAAGAAGCACCGGCUAACUCCGUGCCAGCAGCCGCGGUAAUACGGAGGGUGCAAGCGUUAAUCGGAAUUACUGGGCGUAAAGCGCACGCAGGCGGUCUGUCAAGUCGGAUGUGAAAUCCCCGGGCGCAACCUGGGAACUGCAUUCGAAACUGGCAGGCUAGAGUCUUGUAGAGGGGGGUAGAAUUCCAGGUGUAGCGGUGAAAUGCGUAGAGAUCUGGAGGAAUACCGGUGGCGAAGGCGGCCCCCUGGACAAAGACUGACGCUCAGGUGCGAAAGCGUGGGGAGCAAACAGGAUUAGAUACCCGAGUAGUC
rnacentral:rRNA from 1 species